UUUCUGCAGGAGAUUCUGAGAUUCUUGGAUAAAGAGGCAAUUUGAAGCUUGUCAUUCAAUGUGUGGCACCAGGAGGAUUCGAAUCUGCACAAAGGUUGGAUAUACUCUUAGAGAACAUAUUCGUUGCCAGAGUCUACAGUCCAGACCUUUACAUCCUUCCAGGUCUAAAUUUUUUGAGCCAUCUUUUAUAUGACAGAAGCCGUGAUUCAGUUCAAGAAACACACAGAUGUCACUUAUUCAGUUAGAAAUUCAAGAAGUUUAAUCUGAAUAUGUGUGGAAUAUCAACAUUCUUGCGGAUCCAGUCCAUUUCCACAAGUGGUCGAAGAUGUUUCGCAGCAGUGCUGAGGUGGAGGCCUAGCACGAAUCCAACCCCUCCGUCAAGCCCAAACCAGGAUGGUGCCACAGGCUCUUAAUAAACAGUAAGCCUUAGUUGUAGGCCUCGGAAACUGUAUCCAAUCCAUUUUUUCUUAAACUUUGCAUAUAGUUAUUUGUUACUUAUGGCGAUGUUUGAUGUUGUCCUAUUGUUCUUGGUCACC
rnacentral:rRNA from 1 species